rnacentral:tRNA from 1 species
GGAAGCGUCGGGCAUCGGCAAGCCCACUGGACUUGUAAUCCAUGAACCUCUGGCCGGGGUUUUGCGGGUUCGACUCCCGCCGCUUCCG